CAACCAGGUGCCGAGAUGAGGAGAAGAUAUGGCGGACUGCAGUCCCUUAACCCCAUAAGGGCCGGGUCGUCUCACUCUGUAGUCGGCGCCGUAGACGUAUGAGGACGGAAUCUACCUGGCUCCUUCCUCACUCUUCACAGGAAGUUGUGUAGACCUCUCAUCAGAGUGGUGUUGUCUCCAGCUUCUCGGCUUCUCCCUCUUUCCUGACAGGAAGUUGUGUAGUCCUCUCAUUAGGGAGGAGACACGUCCUUCCCUCACUCUGCUGACUCACUGCUUUUGGGAGCCUGGCAGCCCUGCUCUGUAUGAUCAUCUCAAUGAUUAUUGGAGAUUUUCUGUACUCUACCACCAAAGACAAUAUCGUGAUAAUAAUGUAGAGUCUAUGGACAAUUCAGGGAAGUUUCUGGAAGAUUAUGGAAGUAGAGACCACCUACAGUCACC